CGUGUAGGCGGCUCUUCAAGUCUCUGGUGAAAUCUCCCGGCUUAACCGGGAGGGUGCCAGGGAAACUGAGGGCUUGAGGGCAGCAGAGGGGGGUGGAAUUCCCGGUGUAGUGGUGAUAUGCGUAGAUAUCGGGAGGAACACCAGUGGCGAAGGCGGCCCCCUGGGCUGUUCCUGACGCUGAGGCGCGAAAGCGUGGGGAGCAAACA
rnacentral:rRNA from 1 species